rnacentral:rRNA from 1 species
CCUACGGGGGGCAGCAGUGAGGAAUAUUGGUCAAUGGACGAGAGUCUGAACCAGCCAAGUAGCGUGAAGGAUGACUGCCCUAUGGGUUGUAAACUUCUUUUAUAAAGGAAUAAAACGAGGCACGUGUGCCUUUUUGCAUGUACUUUAUGAAUAAGGAUCGGCUAACUCCGUACCAGCAGCCGCGGUAAUACGGAGGAUCCGAGCGUUAUCCGGAUUUAUUGGGUUUAAAGGGAGCGUAGAUGGGUUGUUAAGUCAGUUGUGAAAGUUUGCGGCUCAACCGUAAAAUUGCAAUUGAUACUGGCAGUCGUGAGUACAGUUGAGGUAGGCGGAAUUCGUGGUGUAGCGGUGAAAUGCUUAGAUAUCACGAAGAACCCCGAUUGCGAAGGCAGCUUACUAAACUGUGACUGACAUUGAUGCUCGAAAGUGUGGGUAUCAAACAGGAUUAGAUACCCUAGUAGUC